CUUGGUGUCAAUAGCGGAGGAGUAACACCCGAUUCCAUCCCGAACUCGACGGUAAAGCCCUCCAGCGCCGAUGGUACUGCACCCGGUUGGUGUGGGAGAGUAGGUCGAUGCCAAGC
rnacentral:rRNA from 1 species